CGCGGCCUAUCAGCUUGUUGGCGAGGUUAUGGCUUACCAAGGCGACGACGGGUAGCCGGCCUGAGAGGGUGUCCGGCCACACUGGGACUGAGAUACGGCCCAGACUCUUACGGGAGGCAGCAGUGGGGAAUAUUGCACAAUGGGCGCGAGCCUGAUGCAGCGACGCCGCGUGAGGGAUGACGGCCUUCGGGUUGUAAACCUCUUUCAGUACAGACGAAGCGUAAGUGACGGUAUGUACAGAAGAAGCACCGGCCAACUACGUGCCAGCAGCCGCGGUAAUACGUAGGGUGCGAGCGUUGUCCGGAAUUACUGGGCGUAAAGAGCUCGUAGGUGGUUUGUCGCGUUGUUCGUGAAAACCUGAGGCUUAACCUUGGGCGUGCGGGCGAUACGGGCAGACUGGAGUACUGCAGGGGAGACUGGAAUUCCUGGUGUAGCGGUGGAAUGCGCAGAUAUCAGGAGGAACACCGGUGGCGAAGGCGGGUCUCUGGGCAGUAACUGACGCUGAGGAGCGAAAGCGUGGGGAGCGAACAGGAUUAGAUACCCUGGUAGUCCACGCCGUAAACGUUGGGUACUAGGCGUGGCGUCUUAUCAACGGAUGCCGUGCUCGAAGCUAACGCGUUAAGUACCCCGCCUGGGGAGUACGG
rnacentral:rRNA from 1 species